CCUACGGGGUGCACCAGUGGGGAAUAUUGCACAAUGGGCGCAAGCCUGAUGCAGCCAUGCCGCGUGUAUGAAGAAGGCCUUCGGGUUGUAAAGUACUUUCAGUCGGGAGGAAGGUGGUGAGCUUAAUACGCUCAUCAAUUAACGUUACCGACAGAAGAAGCACCGGCUAACUCCGUGCCAGCAGCCGCGGUAAUACGGAGGGUGCAAGCGUUAAUCGGAAUUACUGGGCGUAAAGCGCACGCAGGCGGUUGAUUGAGUCAGAUGUGAAAUCCCCGGGCUUAACCCGGGAAUUGCAUCUGAUACUGGUCAGUUAGAGUCUUGUAGAGGGGGGUAGAAUUCCAUGUGUAGCGGUGAAAUGCGUAGAGAUGUGGAGGGAUACCGGUGGCGAAGGCGGCCCCCUGGACAAAGACUGACGCUCAGGUGCGAAAGCGUGGGGAGCAAACAGGAUUAGAUACCCCCGUAGUC
rnacentral:rRNA from 1 species